AUACUUUUCAAUUUGUUGUCCUUCUUCCACUUCAUGCGCCGGUUCUGGAACCAGAUCUUGAUCUGGCGCUCGGACAGGCAGAGUGCGUGGGCGAUCUCGAUGCGCCGUCGCCGGGUCAGACUUCGCUUGAAAAGAUCGAGAAUGGAGGAGGGGAUCGGCACUCACUUGCAGACAUCAACAGUUUCCAGAAAAUUCGGUUCAAUUCCUUCACCACGGACCCACCAACCAAGGAGCUGGCAAAACCCACUAACCAACCAGGAGAACACAGACCCGGUUUGUCUUUUGACAACCGAGUGGAACUGACGGGGCCGGCGCCUGCCCUGCGGGUCCCCUCCCUUGGCUGAGAAGAAAACCAAAUAAACCUUGAACAGCCUUGG
rnacentral:lncRNA from 1 species